AACGAACGCUGGCGGCGUGCCUAACACAUGCAAGUCGAACGUGAUUAGAGGGCUUGCUCUCUAUGAAAGUGGCGCACGGGUGAGUAACGCGUAGAUAAUCUACCUGAUGAUCCGGGAUAACACUUCGAAAGGGGUGCUAAUACCUGAUAAGCCCACGGGGUCCUUGGACUCUGCGGGAAAAGGGGGGGAACGCAAGACCUUCCGUCAUAAGAUCAGGCUGCGUACCAUUAGCUAGUUGGUAGGGUAAAGGCCUACCAAGGCGACGAUGGUUAGCUGGUCUGAGAGGAUGAUCAGCCACACUGGAACUGAGACACGGUCCAGACUCCUACGGGAGGCAGCAGUGGGGAAUUUUGCGCAAUGGGGGAAACCCUGACGCAGCAACGCCGCGUGAGUGAUGAAGGCCCUUGGGUCGUAAAGCUCUGACAGAGGGAAAGAAGUGUACGGUGGCUAAUAUCCAUUGUACUUGACGGUACCCUCAAAGGAAGCACCGGCUAACUCCGUGCCAGCAGCCGCCGCGGUAA
rnacentral:rRNA from 1 species